GAGAGAUUGAGAAACAGGUUCUAUCUCCAGGCCAUCAGAUUGUUAAACAGCUUCUAUCUCCAGGCCAUCAGACUGGUAAACAGCUUCUAUCUCCAGGACAUCAGACUGGUAAACAGCUUCUAUCUCCAGGCCAUCAGACUGAUAAACAGCUUCUAUCUCCAGGCCAUCAGACUGAAAAACAGCUUCUAUCUCCAGGCCAUCAGACUGGUAAACAGCUUCUAUCUCCAGGCCAUCAGACUGAUAAACAGCUUCUAUCUCCAGGCCAUCAGACUGAUAAACAGCUUCUAUCUCCAGACCAUCAGACUGAUAAACAGCUUCUAUCUCCAGACCAUCAGACUGGUAAACAGCUUCUAUCUCCAGACCAUCAGACUGAUAAACAGCUUCUAUCUCCAGACCAUCAGACUGAUAAACAGCUUCUAUCUCCAGACCAUCAGACUGGUAAACAGCUUCUAUCUCCAGACCAUCAGACUGAUAAACAGCUUCUAUCUCCAGACCAUCAG
rnacentral:lncRNA from 1 species